rnacentral:sRNA from 12 species
CCCUGACAGGCGCAUACCGUGCCUGACACUAGCCAAGACAGGAGACAUAUAUG